GCGGCCGUAGUUCAUCGGUAGAACGACGGCUUCCCAAGCCGUAGAGGUGGGUUCGACUCCCAUCGGCCGCUCCA
rnacentral:tRNA from 1 species